rnacentral:rRNA from 1 species
AGUGAACGCUGGCGGCGUGCCUAAUACAUGCAAGUCGAACGAGUGGCGCACGGGUGAGUAAUGUCUGGGAAACUGCCUGAUGGAGGGGGAUAACUACUGGAAACGGUAGCUAAUACCGCAUACCAUCAGAUGUGCCCAGAUGGGAUUAGCUAGUAGGUGGGGUAACGGCUCACCUAGGCGACGAUCCCUAGCUGGUCUGAGAGGAUGACCAGCCACACUGGAACUGAGACACGGUCCAGACUCCUACGGGAGGCAGCAGUGGGGAAUAUUGCACAAUGGGCGCAAGCCUGAUGCAGCCAUGCCGCGUGUAUGAAGAAGGCCUGCGGGUUGUAAAGUACUUUCAGCGGGGAGGCGUUACCCGCAGAAGAAGCACCGGCUAACUCCGUGCCAGCAGCCGCGGUAAUUC